GAUGAACGCUGACAGAAUGCUUAACACAUGCAAGUCGAUGGGGAAGUGGUGCUUGCACCAUGGCAACCAUGGCGGACGGGUGAGUAACGCGUAAGGGACUUACCUGCAGGACUGGGAUAACAGGGGGAAACUCCUGACAAGACCGGAUAAUGUCAUGGAGCUGCAUGGCUUUAUGAUGAAAGGAGACGCCUGCGGAGAGCCUUGCGUCCUAUUAGCUAGUUGGUGAGGUAAUGGCUCACCAAGGCGAAGAUAGGUAGCCGGCCUGAGAGGGUGGACGGCCACAAGGGGACUGAGAUACGGCCCUUACUCCUACGGGAGGCAGCAGUGGGGAAUAUCGGACAAUGGGGGCAACCCUGAUCCAGCAAUUCUGUGUGCACGAAGAAGGUUUUCGGAUUGUAAAGUGCUUUCAGCAGGGAAGAAGUAAGUGACGGUACCUGCAGAAGAAGCGACGGCUAAAUACGUG
rnacentral:rRNA from 1 species